rnacentral:rRNA from 1 species
AUUGAACGCUGGCGGCAGGCCUAACACAUGCAAGUCGAACGAGUGGCGGACGGGUGAGUAAUGUCUGGGAAACUGCCUGAUGGAGGGGGAUAACUACUGGAAACGGUAGCUAAUACCGCAUACCAUCGGAUGUGCCCAUGUGGGAUUAGCUAGUAGGUGGGGUAAAGGCUCACCUAGGCGACGAUCCCUAGCUGGUCUGAGAGGAUGGCCAGCCACAAGGGAACUGAGACACGGGCCAGACUCCUACGGGAGGCAGCAGUGGGGAAUAUUGCACAAUGGGCGCAAGCCUGAUGCAGCCAUGCCGCGUGUAUGAAGAAGGUCUUCGGAUUGUAAAGCACUUUAAGUUGGGAGGCGUUACCAACAGAAUAAGCACCGGCUAACUGCGUGCCAGCAGCCGCGGUAAUUC